AAAUUGAAGAGUUUGAUCAUGGCUCAGAUUGAACGCUGGCGGCAGGCCUAACACAUGCAAGUCGAACGGUAACAGGAAGAAGCUUGCUUCUUUGCUGACGAGUGGCGGACGGGUGAGUAAUGUCUGGGAAACUGCCUGAUGGAGGGGGAUAACUACUGGAAACGGUAGCUAAUACCGCAUAACGUCGCAAGACCAAAGAGGGGGACCUUCGGGCCUCUUGCCAUCGGAUGUGCCCAGAUGGGAUUAGCUAGUAGGUGGGGUAACGGCUCACCUAGGCGACGAUCCCUAGCUGGUCUGAGAGGAUGACCAGCCACACUGGAACUGAGACACGGUCCAGACUCCUACGGGAGGCAGCAGUGGGGAAUAUUGCACAAUGGGCGCAAGCCUGAUGCAGCCAUGCCGCGUGUAUGAAGAAGGCCUUCGGGUUGUAAAGUACUUUCAGCGGGGAGGAAGGGAGUAAAGUUAAUACCUUUGCUCAUUGACGUUACCCGCAGAAGAAGCACCGGCUAACUCCGUGCCAGCAGCCGCGGUAAUACGGAGGGUGCAAGCGUUAAUCGGAAUUACUGGGCGUAAAGCGCACGCAGGCGGUUUGUUAAGUCAGAUGUGAAAUCCCCGGGCUCAACCUGGGAAC
rnacentral:rRNA from 1 species